rnacentral:rRNA from 1 species
CCUACGGGAGGCAGCAGUGGGGAAUAUUGCACAAUGGGCGCAAGCCUGAUGCAGCCAUGCCGCGUGUAUGAAGAAGGCCUUCGGGUUGUAAAGUACUUUCAGUGGGGAGGCGUUACCCGCAGAAGAAGCACCGGCUAACUCCGUGCCAGCAGCCCGGUAAUACGGAGGGUGCAAGCGUUAAUCGGAAUUACGGGCGUAAAGCGCACGCAGGCGGUCUGUAAGUCGGAUGUGAAAUCCCCGGGCUCAACCUGGGAACUGCAUUCGAAACUGCAGGCUAGAGUCUUGUAGAGGGGGGUAGAAUUCCAGGUGUAGCGGUGAAAUGCGUAGAGAUCUGGAGGAAUACCGGUGGCGAAGGCGGCCCCCUGGACAAAACUGACGCUCAGGUGCGAAAGCGUGGGGAGCAAACAGGAUUAGAUACCCUUGUAGUC